ACCGGUAGAAGAACCAAACAGGGAUUGCCCUAGUAACGGCGAGUGAAGCGGCAACAGCUCAAAUUUGAAAUCUGGCCCUCCCGGGGGUCCGAGUUGUAAUUUGCAGAGGGUGCUUUGGCAUCGGCUGCGGUCCAAGUCCCUUGGAACAGGGCGUCGGAGAGGGUGAGAAUCCCGUAUCUGGCCGCCAGCCUUCGCCGUGUAAAGCCCCUUCGACGAGUCGAGUUGUUUGGGAAUGCAGCUCAAAGUGGGAGGUAAAUUUCUUCUAAAGCUAAAUACCGGCCAGAGACCGAUAGCGCACAAGUAGUGUGAACGAAAGAUGAAAAGCACUUUGGAAAGAGAGUCAAAAAGCACGUGAAAUUGUUGAAAGGGAAGCGCUUGCAGCCAGACGUGCCCGCGGUCGCUCAGCCAGGCCCUUCGCCUGGUGCACUCCUCCGCGGGCAGGCCAGCAUCGGUUCCGGUGGUCGGACAAAGGCCUGCUAAACGUACCUCCCCCGGGAGGACUUAUAGGGUAGGUGGCAUACGGCCAGCCGGGAUCGAGGUCCGCGCUUCGGCGAGGAUGCUGGCGUAAUGGUGGCAAGCGGCCCGUCUUGAAACACGGACCAAGGAGUCUAACAUCUAUGCGAGUGUUUGGGUGUCAAGCCCGGGCGCGCAAUGAAAGUGAACGGAGGUGGGAUCCCUUCACCGGGUGCACCAUCGACCGAUCCUGAAGUCUUCGGAUGGAUUUGAGUAAGAGCAUAGCUGUUGGGACCCGAAAGAUGGUGAACUAAGCUUGAAUAGGGUGAAGCCAGAGGAAACUCUGGUGGAGGCUCGCAGCGGUUCUGACGUGCAAAUCGAUCGUCAAAUUUGGGCUUAG
rnacentral:rRNA from 1 species